rnacentral:rRNA from 1 species
CGGCAACAGCUCAAAUUUGAAAUCUGGCCCUAGGCCCGAGUUGUAAUUUGCAGAGGAUGCUUUUGGUGAGGUGCCUUCCGAGUUCCCUGGAACGGGACGCCAUAGAGGGUGAGAGCCCCGUACGGUUGGACGCCUAGCCUCUGUAAAGCUCCUUCGAC